UCCUCGAUAGCUCAAUGGUAGAGCGACCGGCUGUUAACCGGUAGGUUCCAGGUUCGAGUCCUGGUCGGGGAG
rnacentral:tRNA from 2 species